AAUAAUAAUAAUAAUAAUAAAGCUCAGCACCUCGGCGACAGAGGCGCUUGCCUCUUGGAGCUGGGCUUUGCCUCGCCUCACCCAGCGCUUUUAAAAACAUGGUUACAAGCCAAAUUGGAGUUAUGUAAUGGUAUUAGACUUGAAAAACUCCCCUUCCCUCCUCUCCACACUCUAUCAAUUUUCAGUAACAUUUCCUUUUCAAGGUUUUUUGAAUAAAUGGUUAAACAUUUAUUAUUUUGGACAUGUAUAUGGUAUUUUUACUUGUGAAAUUAACAAAAUUCUUAAACAUGAAAUCCAUACUGUAGCAUUCAAAAGCACUUAAAAUAAUAAAUCAAAGUUUAAAAAAAAAUUCAUAUUUGAAUGACAAUCAUUAAAAUUCGAUAGAACUGUUGACACCGCAGCAUAUUAUUAAACUCUUGAAAAUCUAAGCUCAAGAUACAAUUUGCUUAUCUGAAAAGAAAUUCAAUUGCAUGAAAACCACAACUGCUCCAUAAUGUUCAAUCCUGUUUCCAUGACACAACGAGUAAUCAUGAUUGAGAUUGAAAACCAUAAGCCCAAAAACCCUCAAAUUUGCAUACGCUGAUUUCUCUUUUCCCUUCUUUGAAGAAGGUCACGUUGCAGAAAUAAUAUAGAACAACAAUCAAGAAGUUGCAGAUGGUAAAAUACAAGAAAGUAUAAAUUUUUAAAAUUUCAAGUUUUUCUUCAGAAUGUUGACAAAUUAUGAGAGUACCUCAAUCCAUA
rnacentral:misc_RNA from 1 species